CGGGCUUAUCGGGCAAAUCUUGUCAGGCAAGGCUGAAAGAGAAGGAUAGGGCUAACUUUGAAAGGUGCCUUUGUAGGGCCUUAGGUGUAGGCCUUGAGGCUCACAAUCAAGAUUAACUUUUAGGUGUUCAGGCAUGUCACUGCCAUCUAUAGCAUGGCAGAUGUAAAACAGAUGUUGAAUUUUAAUUGUAUAUAUACCCGAGAGGCUGUUUUAGUUAUGAAAUGUGUCUUUGUGGGGCCUUAAGUGUAGGCUUUGAGGCUUCCUAUCAAUAACUAACCUAGUACUCGAACAUAUAAUGUUUAUUUCAUUGGUUGCAGAAAUGUUAUGACUAUUAUACUUCUAAUUACCCGAGCCCGAAGAGCAGAAUGCAUCCAAAUAGGUGCCUUUGUAGGCCUUAGGUGUAGGCCUUGAGGCUUCCCAUCAGAAUUACUUCUAUUACUUGCGCCCCAAGUAACAUCGGACUUCUUGUUAUCAAAGACUGUCGUGGAUGGGUUAAGUCUACAUAAGGUUCUUUUUUACACCUUGAGACCAAGGACUUUUGGAUGAUCAAUCUUACAUGCCUGAGGGUUUAGAACUUGAUCUGAUUUAAGUUGUGACUACAUAUUCCAAUCGGAUUCAAGCACUGAGGAGUCUUUUAAUCAUCAACUUGUUGGAACUAACUUGGAUACAAAUGGAAGUAUACAACAUAUUACUAGACUUAUGAAUGAAAAGACAAAAAACAAAGAGGGUCAGGCAAGACUGGUCGUCUUGCAACUUCCUAUCUUUGUGAUUUAUAGAGGGUUUUGAGAGCUUUAGAAAGAGGGAUAGGGAGAUGAGUUUACAGAAGGAAAUCGAUACUACAGCAGGAUUUAUGCAAGGUAGCAGAGCUUUUACAAAGGCUUUGGGUGAGGGUUGAUCCCGAAAAGGAUGAAAGCUUGGGCUGACUACGGCUUUGUUGAAAGCAAAUAUGGCUUGAGCAGAGUUUGUCCUUGUAUUUGUUUGUUUGUUUGUUUGAGUGUCCUCAUCUCUGAAUUAUCUUUCUUCUUUUAUAGACAGUUUGGCUUGGCCUUCUGUAGCUUUAACCUUGCCCGAAUGCAGCUUGAAGUGCAAUGACUCAUCAGCUUUUUACUUGUACUGCCACUGUAAAGUGCUUUUGGGCUGAUUAGCUGGCUGGUCUACACCACUUGGUCUCUAGGUAGGUGAACAAGUGGUGCAAGUGAUCUGCACCUAGUCGAAAAAAAACCCUUUUUCUGCCUUCUAGGCUUUGGCUGGGCUUCGGGCUCCCUUCCUCCUAGUCUUCUUGUUGGGCUGACUCCCUUUUGAGCCCAAUAGUUCAAGUUUUAACCCAAACAGUGCCCCCUUCAAUUAAUAUUCAGGCUGGAAUUCCAGGAGCCAAUAUUGAUUGAAUAGCCGCAUGCUUGUAUACCUUCAUUUUCUCUUGGGAUUUGAACUCUUUCUAAAGAUAAUCAUCACUUUCUUGCGAUCUUUCCAUUAACCCACGAAUCCUCUACAUACUUAGCAUGAAAUCCCCUUUCCUUAAAAAUUUCUAUCUUCCCAGACGUCUUGAUUCUCUCAAACUUUCAGACUCUUCUUUGUUCUUUGCCCGAUAUCUUCUACUUUGGUCAUCUUCUUCAUCGUUCCUCCCUCAAACUUUGUUAAAUGGCUUCAGGAUCCAGCCAGGUCCAACCAUCAUACGAAUCUGGCGAAGGCAUAGCUACCUUACGCCGCUUACUCAACGGACUGCAUCGCCCUCGGGCAGGUUUGUAUUAUGAACUUUUCUUUGAAGCGCAUGGGGCACAAUCGUUGGGUCUUACAUGGAUUUCUCAUGUCCCUGCAGUGAUAAAGAACAAUAUGCCCAGGGGUAACUGGUUUUCCCCAAAUCCUUUCUUGGCUGAGUCGAGCAUUUCUUCAGUCAAAUGGUCGUCAUAUCGUCGAGGCUUUCCUCUAAUGAACGAUCCGGCUUGGGCUCAGUGGAAUGAUGAACUAGAGCCAACUUUUAAGAAGAAAUGGAUGAAUAAUGGUAUCUAUGAACUAAUAAUGCUUUCAAAAACUACCAUUAUUCCCAAGCCCGAACUGCUUGCUACUUCUCUUCUUUUCUGGAAUUCAGACACAAAUACUUUUGACUUUCGCAUAGGUCCCAUGUCUCCAACUGUUCUAGACAUGGCCCAAGUCUUCGGGCUAAGACCAUCGAGCAGGAUAGUAGAUGUUACUCAAGACUGGGUUCCCCCUUCAAUUGUUGAAAGCUUAGGUUCCUCCACCUCUUUCCUUUCACUGGAAUAUAACUAUGCAACUUUCAAGGGUUACGGAACUUCUUUCAAGGGGUUCAUCCCUUUCGUAAAGGAGAAUUUUGGAGUAGAUUCUUCUCACGUUGAUAAGGAUCAAGAACACAUGUACUUUCUUUUAUACUGGCUUAACAAGCAUGUCUUCCCCAAUAAGUCUAAAGGGGUGAAUGUUGAAUGGAUUCCCUUAGUAGAAGCUCUCCACAACUUUGAUAAUGUUGCUACAGGUCCAUUCCUUCUUUCUCAUCUCUACCACCUCCUCUUUGAAAUGACUCAAGGCGAGCCAUUUGAAACCAAUCUGAAUGGACCCAUAUGGAUGAUCCAAACAUGGCUUCAAUGGUAUUUCCUAGCGUUUCGAGCUGCUAACUUAGAGUUCCCAGAAGGUAUGGCCCCUGCCCGAAUCUUAGCUGAAGUUGCUCCUACGGAUCACUCCACAUUUGCCUGCUUCUUCUUCUUCAAAGUUUGUAGAACCCGAUCAUACUUGGAAUGGGAUGCGUCAGUUUUGAGGAGAUAUCCUUAGUUCUCUAAUCAAGCCUUCCAAGACGCUCCUAGGGAAGAUGCCACUUCUUUUUUCAGGGAGAAAUUCAUUAGUUGUAUUCAACCAAGAGACAUGGCCUGGAGAGUUUGGGGCAAUCGAUAUGAUCGAGGGUUGGAGGUGUAUCAUCCUAACUUUUGCAGUAGGUAAUUAGGCUUUAUGCAAGCCAUUCCCAUUUCGUUCUUUGAUUCUAUCCAUUAUGGUACUUCCUUCCGAUUACCAUCCCCUUCAGAUGGGACCUUUCGAGAUGCCCGACGUAGUCUUGAAGUUAUGAAUCAGGCCACCCGAAAAUCCAUAGUUCUCAAUUUUGAAUGUACUCCACUCUUUUCUGCCUGGUGGGAAGACAAAUGGACCAAGAAAUAUGGAGGAGAUUUGCGGGAAACUCAUGACCGACUCUUCAGUCAACUUUCCCUCAAGUAAUACCCUAGUUCGGGCAAACUUGAAAACUGGAAGGAAAUGAUCCAGCAGAAGAACCGAUGACUUUUGAUAGGUAUUGCUCUUCUUGACUUGACUCUGUCCCCCUUAUGAAGUCCUUUAAAUCUUACUUUGCUUGAUCCUGCAGCCCAAGUAGAUGUUGAAACAGCGCCCAUUGAGUACGAGGAUGACUCAGCUAAUGCAGCAGUUCUUUAUGGAGCCGCAGUAGAAGCUAAAAGACGAGAAGCUGGAGAAGGCGAAUAUGUUUUGGAAUUUAUUAGAGAUUCAGAGGCUGAAGAAACUCCUGAUGCAAACAUUAAAGCACCUAAACGAAGGAAAGUAGUUGUGAUUGAGACCUCAGAAUCUGAACCUGCAUCCCCACCCAAACCUAAACGACCAAUUCCCACCAAAAAGAGUAAAAGAACAAGAACCAUCCAGACUUCCAAACCUUCAGUCCUGUCUGCUCCGGUUUCUGAGGCAGGCAAAAAGAAGCAAAAGUCUUCAAGUAAGUUUCAUGUUCUCCUUUAUCAAACUGCCAUCCUUCUUCCUUAUCUAUUUGUUCUUGUCUUCUUUGAAAUCAGGACCUCAAGCAUCCAAAAAACCAACUAUUGCUUCAAGGGAGGAUCCACUAAGAGCUGAAAUGUAUCAAAAGGCUGAGGAUUUGCGAAAUAUCACCCUCAAAGAGCUUGAGGUAUUUUGCUUGUAUUUUUAUCUGCAUAAUCUUCCUUAAACUCUGAACAUGAUUGCUUGAUCUAGGUCGCGAGGGAAGAAAAUAUUCUUCUGCCUGAGGCCUCUUUGUCAUCUGCCCGAGAAACAAGCGUCUUUCCUCCUCGGGUUAAUCCUUCAGAGGUGCAUUUCCCUCAAUCUUGAAUCUUGGAUAACUUUAUAGUUUCUGGAACAAAUGCCUAAUCCUUUCUCUUCUGCUCUCUUCAUCCAGGUCGGGGUAUUUGCCCUAUUGCCUAGUCAAUGAUCACCUUCAAAAUAUGUAAUUUCUCCUUCUGCCCUGUAGGUAACUCCAUCUUCCCAAUUUGAUCCAUCCACAUGAGUCAUAUUGCACUUUGUGGAUGAGGGCAGUAAUUCAGUGAGCACUCGUCCUAUCAUUAAGUUUAUGUACAUUGCGUCCAUAUUAACUCAUGUUUAUAUUUUCUUCAGCCUUCCCCCAUAUAUGGACCACAACAACCGUCAGUGGUAACACGUGACCAACCCGUAGUCCCUGAUAUUCCUGUGACCUCAGGAGCAGCUAUUUUACACGUGCUUGCUUGCCCAAUAGUUACCACUGAUGAGCUUCCUUCUUCUCCUCAGGGUCGAACUCAGGUAUGGAAGUAUUUCCUUUCUAGUUUCUUCUUAUAUCCUGCUUUAUCAACAAUUGCUACAAUCCCUGGAUGUCUCUUAGGGCGUUGGUGAAGUUUCGGGCACAACUUUUUCUUCCCCUGUUGGUGAUAGUGGUUCUCCUCCUCAAAUAGGAGUAGAUAUUCUUCCUUUUAAAGCCCCAGAGCUUAGUCAAGCAUAUUUCUUCUUCCCAAAACUUCUCUUUACUUCAAACUACAUUUCUUGCCUUAAUUUGGUCUUCUCUGUUUCUUACAGCAGGCCUUGAGAGAAGCUUCGGGCAAAUCUCCUCCGCGUUUGGUGCGUAAAACGGAGCUCCCCAGGCCUUCUUCAACUUUUGGAGGUACAGAGAUUACCCUUUCUGUGCUUAAGAAGACUAGGAAGACCGAAAUUGCCCCAUUAGUGGUUACUACUCCAUUAGAAGAAACUGGAGUGCGAACCCUUCCUGCUUCUUCUUCAUUUUCAACGACUGCCAACUUGCCCGAACUUUUUGAAGAAUUUAGGCAACUUGAGACAAGGCUGAAAUCUUCAAAGCAUUCUUCAGCACCUUCCGACUUUCAAGAGCAACACCGAGCUUUCCAAGAAUUGGCUAGGAAUGACUUCUCAGCUUCAUUCAGCCUCAAGGCUCUUUGUGACCUAGAAAAGGUUACAAUUGAGCUCUUUAAAGCUGAUCAGUUAUCCAAAGCCCAACAUGAUUCCUUUCUCUCUUAUUUUGAGAAUUUGAGGGCUCUUAGGGAGCAGCAUCAGAGAGCUGAUAGACAAGCCAAUCGUGUAAAAUACUUUAAGGAGAAUGAAUCAAGUACUUCUGCACAGGUCGAGCAGUUGAUGGAUGAGGGCUUGCUGACAAAAGAAAUGAUCGGAGUGGUAACUUCUGAAAUCCAGAAGCUGGAGGAACAACUUAUUGCUCUUAAAGCUGAGCAAGCAACUCUUCUUGGCACCCUUAAACAUCAAAUCGAAGAAGUGAAGAAGUCAAACUCGGAGCUAAAGUACACUAGGUCUCAACUUGCAAAUAGCAAUACUGUUCUGGCCGAACCUAAUAGAAUUUUUGUAAUUAUGCAGACUUAUCAUUCCCAAAUAAUCACUUUGAGUAAAGAUGUAAAAUUGUUAGACUAGGAUUACUUGUAACCCUUUUUCUAGCAGAAUCAACAUCUGUUUUGCCUCUGCUUGCUUUGCUUUAUGGCUCUUGUCUGAAUUGACUUUGGGCAACUCCCUGCCCCAUUGUUUAUUUUCUUUUUCUUCUGCUUCCCUUACUAAUACCAAUUUUAGGACCUCAUCAUAAUCACUUGGUCCCUCUUAUGGUACUAUUAUUUAAGCGGGGGUGUUAGGGCAACCUGGGAUCUAUCUCCUUCUUCUUUUGUGACAAAUGAUGACCAUGGCUUUUCUACCCAAAUCAGGUUGACCAUGUUGAUAGGGGCUUCAGGGAAAGGGUUUGUAUCAACUAUCAUAAUGGCUUGGGGUUUGUCCAGCAAUAGCUUUCCCUUCACUAUAAGGUUUUGUAUCCAAUCUCUGAACUAGACACAAUUGGCUAUGGAAUGAUUGAAGGUAUAGUGUAACUUGCAAUAUUUCUUCCCUCUCAACUUUUAUGGCUUGGGCAUUUUUUUAGUACUGUCGGGCAAAAUUACUCUUGCCCGCACCAGUUCCUCAUAGAUCUCAAGAGCUUUGGCCAAGUCAAAGGAAUAACUUUGGUACUUGGGAGGCUUCAUUGGUACAAACCAUCCAUCAUUCAUCAUGAUUUUCUGAUCUUUGAUGGGUUGAACCACCCUUUUCACUGUUAAUGGUUUGAAAUGAGUGGUCAUCUUAGCAGCACAAACAUCAAUUUCCUCCUUAUCAUGACCAUCUUCAUGCUUUAGCCGUGUUUCUUCUAUCUCCACACGAUGAAUCGCAGCUUUGUUUUUGUAAAAAUGAGGAGCCUUGGAAGUGUGCUUCACUUGUUGUUCUUCUAGCAGUAGCCUUUCACACUUUGUUGCAGCGAUUACCAAUUCUUAAAACUCAUUGAAUUGCGUAUCAUAGAACCUCUUCCUCAAAGGUAACCUCAGAGCCUUUUGGGCGAUUGAUAUGAGUUGAGCUUGGUUGACGGGGAAUUGACACCUCAUCCUUGUUUUCCUGAACCUCAUCAUGAAGUCCUCUGUAAACUCAUGUUCGUAUUGUUUGACUUCAACCAGAUCAUUAAUAGUCAUCUCUGGUUCUAUUCUGUAAAACUGUUCAUGGAAGGUCAUCUCCAUCUGCCCCCAAUUGGCAAUAGAGUUAGGGGGUAAUAGAGAAUACCAUUGAGAUGCUAAUCCCGCCAAUGAAUUUCCAAACAACCUUAACUUGUAGUUCGGGUUGUCUUCAUAUGCCACACAAUGAUUGGAGAAUUUGAAAAUGUGGUCUCUGGAGGACACACUACCAUCUUCACCAGUAAAUGUUGGGAAUGCAGGCAUUUUGAAGUUGAGAGGAAACGGGUUUUGCUCAUCAAUGUACUCAGGGUAAGGCUUUUGAUAGGUAACCCUGAAUACUGGGCGAAUUCAUGGUUGAGCAUUAUGAACCAUCGUCCUCCUCAACUCAGCCAACUUCUCCCUUAGUUGUUGAGUAGCUAUAUUAUUGUUUUGGAAAAGAAGGGCAGACUCGUUCUUCAGGCUCCGGUCGUUGCCCGCGCCUGCUUCUUUCUUUGCCUCAGGCUUCCUCCAGUUGACUACUCCUCCCUUAUUAACCAGAUGAGGUGGCCUAUAAGGAGGAGGUUUAUCUGAGAUGACCAAGCCUUCUUUUCCACAUAUUCUUCCGAUUAUUAUGGGCAUCCCAUACCUCGUCAUUUCUUGUUCAUUUUGCUUCCUAUUAAAUGAUAAUAAUGGAAAGCUAGGGAAUUCUUUUUCUAGAACUGGUUCAAUCACGGGCUGGUUCCUUCAGGUACUUCUUUUUCCUUUCCCUUAUCUUGUUUUUCUUCUAAUAACGGAAAUAGGGGAAUAACUGGUUCACUUCUGAUGGUAACCUGGCUCAUCCCACUUCCUUGAGCACCUUUUGGAGUAGAAAACUCCAGAUCUAAUCUUCUUUGUAGAUUUCCUAUCAAGGUACACAGUCUACUUACUUCCCCCUUAGUUUCCAAAGGGAUUAUUUUCAUGCUCUUCAACACUUGUAUCAUAGUAGCCUGCAAUUCUUCAUUAGUCCAUUUUCCUUCAAUUCUUCCAGAUGAAGUUGGGCUUUCCAGGACCACCUGUCCUGAUGGAGAAGAAGGAUUUCCUAGUUGAUCUAUCAUUUUUAACAAAUGUUGAAACGAUUCGUAUUUUGUCCUCUUUUUGACAUACGAGAUUGAAACAUAAAUCCCACCGGGCGUGCCAAAACUAUGUUCGUGGCUAGAAUUUCCGUUGGGGAUGUUUCCUAACCGACGUGCACACAGUUCCCUGAGAGGUUGGUGCCGGCUGAUGCUUUCUGUCGGGCUUCUACUUACUGGCGGGCUUGUCGGGCAAAUCUUGUUGGGCAAGGCUGAAAGAGAAGGACAAGGUUAACUUUGAAAGGUUCCUUUAUAGGGCCUUCGAUGUAGGCCUUGAGGCUCACAAUCAAGAUUAACUUUUAGGUGUUCAGGCGUGCCACUGCCAUCUUUAGCAUGGCAGAUAUAAAACAGAUGUUGAGUUUUAAUUGCAUAUAUACCCGAGAGGCUGUUUUAGUUAUGAAAGGUGCCUUUGUGGGGCCUUAGGUGUAGGCCUUGAGGCUUCCCAUCAAUAACUAACCCAGUACUCGAACAUAUAAUGUUUAUUUCAUUGGUUGCAGAAGUGUUAUGACUAUUAUACUUCUAAUUACCCGAGCCCGAAG
rnacentral:lncRNA from 1 species